GUAAUUCGCUAGGGGUCCUGGGAAUGCGUUUUCCGGGUGAGAGAUACCCUUCGUACCUGAUCUGGAUAAUGCCAGCGAAGGAAAGCGCAAAGUUGUUUCC
rnacentral:ncRNA from 2 species